UACGGGAGGCAGCAGUGGGGAAUCUUGCGCAAUGGGCGAAAGCCUGACGCAGCCAUGCCGCGUGAAUGAUGAAGGUCUUAGGAUUGUAAAAUUCUUUCACCGGGGACGAUAAUGACGGUACCCGGAGAAGAAGCCCCGGCUAACUUCGUGCCAGCAGCCGCGGUAAUACGAAGGGGCUAGCGUUGCUCGGAAUUACUGGGCGUAAAGGGAGCGUAGGCGGACAUUUAAGUCAGGGGUGAAAUCCCGGGGCUCAACCUCGGAAUUGCCUUUUGAUACUGGGUGUCUUGAGUAUGAGAGAGGUGUGUGGAACUCCGAGUGUAGAGGUGAAAUUCGUAGAUAUUCGGAAGAACACCAGUGGCGAAAGGCGACACACUGGCUCAUUACUGACGCUGAGGCUCGAAAGCGUGGGGAGCAAACAGGGAUUAGAUA
rnacentral:rRNA from 1 species